AUUGAACGCUGGCGGAAUGCUUUACACAUGCAAGUCGAACGGCAGCACGGACUUCGGUCUGGUGGCGAGUGGCGAACGGGUGAGUAAUGUAUCGGAACGUGCCCAGUCGUGGGGGAUAACGUAGUGAAAAUUACGCUAAUACUGCAUACGAUCUAUGGAUGAAAGCGGGGGAUCGCAAGACCUCGCGCGAUUUGAGCGGCCGAUAUCAGAUUAGGUAGUUGGUGGGGUAAAGGCCCACCAAGCCAACGAUCUGUAGCUGGUCCGAGAGGACGACCAGCCACACUGGAACUGAGACACGGUCCAGACUCCUACGGGAGGCAGCAGUGGGGAAUUUUGGACAAUGGGCGAAAGCCUGAUCCAGCCAUUCCGCGUGCAGGAUGAAGGCCCUCGGGUUGUAAACUGCUUUUGUACAGAACGAAAAGGUUUCUACUAAUACUAGGAGCUCAUGACGGUACUGUAAGAAUAAGCACCGGCUAACUACGUGCCAGCCGCCGCAGUAA
rnacentral:rRNA from 1 species